AGCUGUCUUUGAGUGUGCUGUCUGGGACGAGUAAACGUCGCCAGCACACCUUGCUGAGAUUCUGAUUCGGACUCUCAGGGGCGGAUUGGGGGAGGGGGAGAGAUGGAGAAGAAAAAAGAGACGGGAAGAGGAAGAUGAAGAAACAGAGGUCCAGCCUGACCCGUCUUCGCCACCGGGCGGCCCAAUCGAGGGGUGCGGUGGCGGCGUCCGGCUGCAUUUCCCCCGCUCCUCCGUCCGGACCAACACAACAGUGCAGCGCACGGGCGAAACUGCGAAAGCCUUGAGCGGUUGAGCGAACCUCAACCACCGCCGCAGCGCCCUCGCUGUUGCAUGCCGAGCUGCGUCCCUUCGGAGUCACUGGACGAGAGCCCAGCUUCUCGAAGCUUGCCUGUGAAUUGGUGCGCGCGCGCGGGAGCUCCUGCCGCGGUGUUUCGGGUCCUGUGAUCCCACAGCACCCUAGGCGGGUGCAUCGGCGAUGUUUCGAAAGAAGCCCAAUCCCUACGGACUGCAGCCCCCCCUGGUAGUGGUGGAUACACUAGCACGGUCUCUCCUGCCCCGGCUAGAUAGAGGUGCUGAUGGCGCUCGGUUUAGCGGCAACCCUGCACUGGGGGCUGUGGGGCAAUAUGGAGAGGCUUACGCUUCAGUGUAUGGCGCGCAGCAGGUGGUUCAGUCACCUCUCGUUUGUAUUCGUUUUCAGUUUGGAUUCCAGAUGCAGUUUAUUUUGUUUUCUAAUAUUGCCACAUGCUUAUUAAUGUAUACUGUAUGCAAGUGAUUGCAUGAUCGA